GAAAGCCUGAAGCAGCAACGCCGCGUGUGUGAUGAAGGCCUUCGGGUCGUAAAGCACUUUUCUGGGAGAUGAGAAAGGACAGUAUCCUAGGAAUAAGUCUCGGCUAACUACGUGCCAGCAGCCGCGGUAAAACGUAGGAGGCGAGCGUUAUCCGGAUUCACUGGGCGUAAAGCGCGUGCAGGUGGCGCGGCAAGUUGGGCGUGAAAGCUCCCGGCUCAACUGGGAGAGGUCGUCCAAUACUACCGUGCUUGAGAGCAGAAGAGGAAGAUGGAAUUCCCGGUGUAGUGGUGAAAUGCGUAGAUAUCGGGAGGAACACCAGUGGCGAAGGCGAUCUUCUGGUCUGUUUCUGACACUCAGACGCGACAGCUAGGGUAGUAAACGGGAUUAGAGACCCCGGUAAUCCUAGCCGUAAACGAUGUGAACUUGGCGUUGGUGGGUUAAACUCCAUCAGUGCCGCAGCAAACGCGAUAAGUUCACCGCCUGGGGACUACGGCCGCAAGGUUA
rnacentral:rRNA from 1 species